UCACUGAACUCAUUGUCCGUAGAUUUAUAUUAUGUAAAACUGGAGUAUCCAGGUAAAACCCAAAGAGGUAGCAACCCUAGCAGUAGAUCGAAAAAUAGAAUAGACAAUGAGUGCAACAGAAAAAUGAGAAUGCUUAGGUAAACGGAUGAGUGGAGUGAUGAGUGAAAAUAUGAUAAGAAAUAAGUACAUAAGAAGUAUCUUAGACGUGGUUUCUAUAGUGAAUAAAAUGAGAGA